GCCGGGUGCGGUGGCGCGCGCCUGUAAUCCAAGCUACUGGGAGGCUGAGGCUGGCGGAUCGUUUGAGCUCAGGAGCUCUGAGCUGCAGCGGACUAUGCCGAUCGGGUGUCCGCACUAAGUUCGGCAUCGAUAUGGUGCUCCUGGGGGAGCUCGGGACCACCAGGUCGCCUAAGGAGGGGUGCACCGGCCCAGGUCGGAAACGGAGCAGGUCAAAGCCCCCGUGCCGCUCAGUAGUGGGAUCGCGCCUGUGAAUAGACGCUGUAGUGCAGCCUGAGUAAUACAGCGGGACCCAGUCUUUU
rnacentral:SRP_RNA from 1 species